rnacentral:misc_RNA from 1 species
GCACAGUGUAACCACGUGCAUUCCGAAGGUUGACAUUAGCAACACCCAGUCCAAGAACCUCAGCAACAACCUUGGGGUCACAAUAUGCAACAGCAUAAUGAAGAGCGUAGGCUCCAUCUAAACUUAUGUCAGACUCAUUAAGUAAAAGCUUGACAAGUUCAACAUCAUCCGAAUCCAAUGCCUUGUAUAUCCUAUUUUUUCUCUUUUCAUGCAACGGAUCCACGGUUAGAACCAUACUUUCAUCACCCUGACAUUUCAGCCGCGAUAACUUAAUACUCUCUGCAACUUUAAAGGGAACCUCCUUCUCAAUACAUGUGCUUUCAAGAUCUGAUCGCGCUACUCUAUCAACGCAAUGAGUGAGA